rnacentral:rRNA from 1 species
AUUGAACGCUGGCGGCAUGCCUUACACAUGCAAGUCGAACGGUAACGGGCCUUCGGGUGCCGACGAGUGGCGAACGGGUGAGUAAUACAUCGGAGCGUGCCCGAUCGUGGGGGAUAACGAGGCGAAAGCUUUGCUAAUACGCAAAAGGACCUAGGAAGGAAGGCGGGGGACGGAAGGCCCUGGGGGGGACGGGGGGGCGGAGGGCAGAUUAGGUAGUUGGUGGGAUAAAAGCUUACCAAGCCGACGAUCUGUAGCUGGUCUGAGAGGAUGAUCAGCCACACUGGGACUGAGACACGGCCCAGACUCCUACGGGAGGCAGCAGUGGGGAAUUUUGGACAAUGGGCGCAAGCCUGAUCCAGCCAUGCCGCGUGCAGGAUGAAGGCCUUCGGGUUGUAAACUGCUUUUGUACGGAACGAAAAGCCUUCUUUUAAUACAGGAGGGUCAUGACGGUACCGUAAGAAUAAGCACCGGCUAACUACGUG